CGGAACCCUCUUUUCUGUCUUAUGGUUGGGCUCCACUAUCGGGGUUCGGCAAAUGAUUCGUGAUAUCGCGAAUUGUGUGUUCCACACAAUCGCGCUAGC